GUGGGGAAUCUUGCGCAAUGGGCGAAAGCCUGACGCAGCCAUGCCGCGUGAAUGAUGAAGGUCUUAGGAUUGUAAAAUUCUUUCACCGGGGACGAUAAUGACGGUACCCCGGGAAUAAGCAUCGGCUAACUCCGUGCCAGCAGCCGCGGUAAUACGGAGGAUGCGAGCGUUAUCCGGAUUUAUUGGGUUUAAAGGGUGCGUAGGCGGAAUGAUAAGUCAGUGGUGAAAACCUGCAGCUUAACUGUAGACUUGCCGUUGAUACUGUCAGUCUUGAGUGUGGUCAAGGUAGGCGGAAUGUGUAAUGUAGCGGUGAAAUGCUUAGAUAUUACACAGAACACCGAUUGCGAAGGCAGCUUACUGGGCCAUUACUGACGCUGAUGCACGAAAGCGUGGGGAUCGAACAGGAUUAGAAACCCUUGUAGUCC
rnacentral:rRNA from 1 species